UUACUGUGCGAGUCGAGCGGGCAUAGCAAUAUGUCAGCGUUCCACGGGUGAGUAACGCGUGGGAACGGGGGUUUUGGUUCGGAACAACUGAGGGAAACUUCAGCUAAUUCCGGAUAAGCCCUUACGGGGAAAGAUUUAUCGCCGAAAGAUCGGCCCGCGUCUGAUUAGCUAGUUGGUGAGGUAAUGGCUCACCAAGGCGACGAUCAAUACCUGGUCUGACAGGAUGAUCCCCCCCUUUGGGACUGACACACGGCCCAAACUCCUAUUCGAGGCAGCAUUGGGGAUUAUUGGACAAUGGGCGCCACUCUGAUCCAGCCAUGCCGCGUGAGUGAUGAAGGCCCUAGGGUUGAAAAGCUCUUUUGUGCGGAAAGAUAAUGACGGUACCGCAAGAAUAAGCCCCGGCUAACUUCGUGCCUGCACCCCCGCUAAUACAAAGGGGGCUAGCGUUGCUCGGAAUCACUGGGCGUAAAGGGUGCGUAUGCAGGUCUUUAAGUCAGGGGUGAAAUCCUGGAGCUCAACUCCAGAACUGCCUUUGAUACUGAAGAUCUUGAGUUCGGGAAAGGUGAGUGGAACUGCGACUGUAGAGGUGAAAUUCGUACAUAUUCGCAAGAACACCAGUGGCGAACGCGGCUCUCUGGCCCGAUACUGACGCUGAGGCACGAAAGCGUGGGGAGCAAACACGAUUAGAUACCCUGGUAGUCCACGCCGUAAACGAUGAAUGUCAUCCGUUACUGGGUUUACUCACUACUGGCGCAGCUAACGCUUUAUGCAUUCCGCCUGGGGAGUACUGUCGUCAGAUUAAUACUCAAAUGUAUUGACUGACGUCCGCACUACCGGUGGAGCAUGUGGUUUAAUUCAAUGCAACGCGCAGAGCCGUAUCUGACCUUGACAUCCCGGUCUCGUACUC
rnacentral:rRNA from 1 species